AGGAGCUGUGGCGUGCUGCUUGGAGCAGGAAACCCUUCGGGGGCUGCGGUCAGUGAUGGUACCUGUGCCCUUUUCUGGCAGCCAGAGAAGAACCGUUCCAGAGUUGCUCCUGGUGGGGAGGCGUUGACCAGUCCUGGUUCAGCUGG
rnacentral:lncRNA from 1 species